rnacentral:rRNA from 1 species
GUUACAAGUGUCACACGGAACUGCCGGUCAUAACCGGAGGAAGGUGGGAUGACGUCAAGUCAGCAUGGCCUUUAUAUCCCUGGGCUACACACACGCUACAAUGGGAAGGGACAAUAGGUUGCGAAGCCGCGAGGCGGAGCCAAUCCAGCAAAACUUCCCUCAGUUCAGAUUGCAGGCUGCCAACUCGCCUGCAUGAAGUUGGAGUUGCUAGUAAACGCAGGUCAGCCAUACUGCGUUGAAUACGUUCCCGGGGCUU